rnacentral:lncRNA from 1 species
UCCAUCAUAAACUACUAAGUCAUAUUUCAUAACUUAGAAUCAAAAUAAUGUUAAACAUUGCCACUUCAUACUGGCAUACUGAAUAAGUGUAUAUAUAUUAUUUAUAACAUGUAUCUUAAUAAUUUACAUUAAGUUUGUCUAUACACAACAAAAGAAUACUCAACUUCCAGCGGAGGGACUCGGACGAAUGUACAGCUACUGAAUGCCGAGACACCUACCAAAAGAUUGAUACAAGUCUACAAGGACACCUCGUCCUAGUUACCGGCUGUCUCGUGAUCUGAAAACAUGAAGUUGAAAACGGUGAGUAUAAACCCAGUGAGUGAACAAGGAAGGGAACAAGCAUACCAUAGGAACAAGCAUACCAUAAGGAAUGUUUAACGAAAUCAUGAUGCAUUCUUUUUCAAAACAAUGCAAUUUAGUUCUAUUCAUACUAAAACCCCUCAUCAAGCCCUUAAAUGAUUAAUCAUUUGAAAAUCAUGAACCCAUACAUAACGAACUAUUUGAAGAAUGAAAGCUUCAAUGAUAUGCAAGCAAGUCAAAUACGACAACGAAUCUUUGCUGCAGCGGAAAGCCAUUCUCGCUACAGCUACAUUGGGAUUAAGUUAUUAGCCGAACGAGGGUUUCUCAACUGGCUGAGAGUUUCUCACUAAACCUCUUCAUUUUAAACUUAACUCAUUUAGUCCUUAAUAUUGGAAGUCCAUGCUCAGAUAUGGUAGCAAAGAAGUGAAAAAUAGGGCAGCAAUUGGACAAGAUAAGAGACAAAACAGAAAGUUUUUCGCUACAGCGAGAUUCAGCGAAAUUGUAACCUAGAAAUAGAAAGUUUCUCGCUGCAGCAAAAUUGUAACCCAGAAACAGAAAGUUUCUCGUUUCAGCGAGAAUGAAUUUUGCUACAACGAGAAGCUACAGUGUCAUUCUCGCUGCAGCGAAAAUGCAUUCUCGCUGCAGCGAAAAUGCAUUCUCGCUGCAACAAGUUUCUGGCUAGUCUACCCUUCCAAACCCGAGAGUUUCUUGCUGCAGCAAAAUUGAUUCUUGCUGCAGCGAGAAACAGGGCACCAAUGAAAAUUUUGCCCUUCUUCCCAAAGAAAACCACCCUGUUGAAAUGUCCAAACCAACAUAAAACGCAUAACAAUUUUUCAAAGUUUAACAUGUCAAGUUUCACAUGCAUUACAACCAUAUACCAUUACUCAUUAAUUUCCUAUAACACACAUAUUUACAUAUGUAUAUAUGUAUGCGUAUACCCAUCAUCAUCAUGCACACCAUCCCAUCAUCAUCAUACACACCAUCAUAUCAUCAUCAUCACCAGCUCAUGCGCACUCCUUACUCGCACAUGGUUGGGUCAUCACCGGGUUAUGCGCACUCCUUACUUGCACAUAAUCGGGUCAUCUUUGCUUAUGCAUACUCUCUACUCGCACAUAGCCGAGUCAAUAUAAUUACACAACAAAAUAUUCAAACAUAUGUGAAUAUCAACAUAAUGCAGCAGCAUAGAGAUCCAUGAUAACCACAUGUCAUAACAUAAAAUUGAUUUAUCAAAGGCUUGUUCCCAAGGCACUUGUUUUAACAAAAGUUGUAUAAAAUCAUUCAAAUAUUUUGUACAAAAUGGUCAUAUUCCCAAAAUGAUUUUGAUAGGCAGUCCACUCAUCGGUAUAUUAUUGAGCCUUUAGCUGAUUUUAAAUCCCUUAAUAAUCCAAUUGGGGUGAUGGGGCUUCUUUAGAACCUAGAAUCACAUUAGCAUAAGCAAUAGGUCAAUUCACACACUAUAAACCCUAAAAGCUAUCUCUUAGCUAGCUUUCAAUUGUCACUUUAAAUGGCUAUCUAUGUUCACUAUCUUAAUCACUAUAAAAUGAAUGAACAUACUCAACAAUAAAACAUCUCAUAAUCCCAAUUACUAGCCAUUAUUCAUAGCUAAAAAUCAAGCUUAGUUCAUCACUUACCCUAGGGCUCUUUUGUAGUUGAAUUCUCUUCCAAUAGCUUCCACACAAAUAGGAUAAUUCUCUCUUUCUCUCUCUAGAACGCCCAACUAGUGAGAGAAAGUAUGAAAAUAAGAUUUUUCAAGGGUUUUAAGGAGAGAGAGUGGAAGAAUACAAGGGUUUUAGUCAUAAAGGCACAAAGGUAUGAAAACUAGAGCUAGAGAGAGAAAAUCAUGCAAGCUCCAUAUCAAGCUUCCAUGGAGGUUGGAAGCAACGUGAAAGAGAAGAAGAAGAAGAA